CAGUCCCAGACUGCUGGUGCUCGAGAGUCAAGAUCUCCCCCUCGAAGCGGCCCUCUCCUGUGUCCCGAUAAAAGAAACCAAAAGCAUUUCUGAAACCGAAAACAACCCGCGAAAUGGCGUCACCAGCAUCACCACUCCAAAAAUCCUCUUCCCCUCUCCAACUCCUCUCCACCCUCAACAACCCCACCACUACCGCCACAUCCGCUCUCGAGUCCCUCGCCUCCGACCCCAUCCUCUCCGCCUUCCUCUCUGCUUCCUUCUCCACCACCUCCUUCUCCUCCGCCGCUCUUUCCUCCGGCUCGCCCGCCUCCACCGCCGAGAAGCUCCACGCUGCCAUCCGCCUCCUCGACUCCCAGCUCCGCCACGAGGUGCUUUCCCGCCACGACGACCUCCUCUCCCAGCUCUCGUCCCUCCACCACGCCGAGCUCGCCCUCUCCACCCUCCGCUCCUCCGUCUCCUCCCUCCACUCCUCCCUCCGCAAGGCCCGCUCCGACCUCUCCGACCCCCUCCGCUCCAUCCGCUCCAAAACCCUCCAGCUCUCCAAUCUCCACUCCGCCUCCGACCUCCUCAACCACUCCGUCCGCGCCCUCCGCCUUUCUCGCAAGCUCCGCGACCUCGCGCCCCUCCACGACCCCGAAAAGCUCGAUCUCGCUAAGGCCGCCCAGCUCCACGCCGAGAUCUUGACCCUUUGCCAAGAGUACGACCUCUCCGGCAUCCACGUCGUUGACGAGGAGCUCCGAUUCGUCAAGGAGGCCGGGGAAAAACUCCGAUCUGAAGCAAUGAAGGUACUCGAAAGAGGAAUGGAGGGCUUGAACCAAGCCGAGGUGGGGACCGGCUUACAGGUUUUCUACAACUUGGGCGAGCUGAGAGGGACCGUGGAGCAGUUGGUGAAUAGGUACAAGGGGAUGGCGGUGAAGAGCAUUGGCGUGGCGUUGGAUAUGAAGGCGAUCACGGCAGGCUCGGGCGGGGCGUUCGGGCCGGGAGGGGUGAGGGGGAGCGGGACGCCUCAGAUAGGCGGAGGGGCGAAGGCGAGGGAGGCGCUGUGGCAGAGGAUGGGCAGUUGCAUGGAUCAAUUGCAUUCCAUCGUGGUGGCGGUCUGGCACUUGCAGAGGGUCUUGUCCAAGAAACGAGAUCCCUUUACGCACGUUUUGCUGCUGGAUGAGGUUCUUCAGGAAGGCGAUUCCAUGUUAACGGAUCGAGUCUGGGAGGCAAUUGUUAAAGCUUUUGCAAGCCAAAUGAAAUCUGCUUUCACUGCAUCAAGUUUUGUGAAAGAGAUAUUUACAAUGGGGUACCCCAAACUCUUCUCCAUUAUAGAGAACCUUCUUGAAAGAAUUUCGCAUGAUACUGACGUCAAAGGGGUUUUACCAGCUAUCAGUUCAGAGGGCAGAGUUCAAAUGGUUGCAGCAGUUGAAAUAUUCCAGACAGCAUUCUUGGCUCUUUGCUUGAGUCGCCUGUCAGAUCUUGUGAAUUCCAUAUUUCCUGUGUCCAGCCGUGGAAGUGUUCCCUCCAAAGAACAUAUCUCAAAGAUUAUAUCACGCAUUCAGGAAGAGAUCGAAGCUGUUCAGCUGGACGGGCAUUUGACCCUUCUUGUCUUGCGUGAAAUUGGCAAGGCUUUGAUCCUGCUUGCACAACGUGCUGAGUACCAGAUAUCCACUGGUCCUGAAGCGCGCCAAGUAAGUGGUCCAGCAACUGCCGCGCAACUGAAGAACUUCACAUUAUGUCAACAUCUACAAGAAAUUCAUACACGCAUAUCUUCAAUGAUUACUGGACUUCCCAGCAUUGCUGCAGAUGUGUUGUCUCCCUCGUUAGGUGCAGUAUAUGGGGUUGCCUGUGACUCAGUGACCUCCUUAUUCCAGGCAAUGCUUGAGCGCCUUGAGUCUUGCAUCUUGCAAAUUCAUGACCAAAAAUUUGGUGCGCUUGGUAUGGAUGCUGCAAUGGACAACAACGCAUCACCUUACAUGGAGGAGUUGCAGAAGUGCAUUCUUCACUUCCGUAGUGAGUUCCUAUCUAGGCUGCUGCCUUCUGCAACAAAUGCUACCGCUGGAGGGGCGGAAACCAUAUGCACUAGGCUUGUUAGGAACAUGGCUUCACGGGUUCUAAUAUUCUUUAUCAGGCAUGCUUCUCUCGUUAGACCCCUUUCAGAAUCGGGCAAGCUUAGGAUGGCCAGAGACAUGGCUGAGCUGGAGUUAGCUGUGGGUCAGAAUUUGUUCCCAGUAGAGCAACUUGGUGCACCAUACCGAGCCCUUCGAGCAUUCCGACCUCUUAUUUUCUUAGAAACAUCUCAACUGGGAGAUUCUCCCCUUCUUCAAGAUUUGCCACUAAGUGUAAUUCUUCACCAUCUUUACUCCAGAGGCCCUGAAGCAUUGCAGUCACCGCUGCAAAGAAACAAACUUACACCUCUGCAGUAUUCCUUGUGGCUAGAUUCUCAAGGUGAGGAUCAGAUCUGGAAAGGUAUCAAGGCAACUCUGGAUGAUUAUGCUGCAAAUGUUAGGGUCAGAGGAGACAAGGAGUUUAGCCCUGUAUAUCCUCUUAUGCUUCGAUUAGGAUCGUCCUUGACAGGGAAUACUCCAGCAUCCCAAAAGCCUUGAUAAUUUAGUAUACCUCUUUUAAAAUCAUUCUCAAACCAGAAUGGUGUUCACCAGGUUUUUGCCUUUAGGUAGAUGUUGCAGGUGGAACUUGGAAAUAGUUGCCGAAACUUCACAAAAGACCAUACUGGUUCAAGUGGCAACUUUGAGUAGGUUCAUACUUGAUGGCUGGAUCCGCAGAAUGGCUGCAUCGAUUUCAUUUGUAUCUAGUCUAGAAUAUUUUUCGAGUUUGGUUAUUGUAUCCAUUGUUUCACCCACUUGUCGUCCUUUCAUUUGUAGUCAUAAUAUUCCCUAAUUCUUGUGUAAAAUAUAAAAAUGUUCGACAGAUCUCAUGUAAUAGUUACACUGAUAAGGAAAUUCUGUUUUAAAAAAAAAAAAAAAAAAGAACAUCUUCAACAUUCGGAUUGUGGGAUGUUGCAUCUUUAAUUAA